UACGUAGGCAGCAAGCGUUGUUCGGAGUUACUGGGCGUAAAGGGUGUGUAGGCGGUUCCUUAAGUUUGCUGUGAAAUCUCCCGGCUUAACCGGGAGGGUGCGGUGAAUACUGAGGGACUAGAGUACGGGAGAGGAAAGUGGAAUUCCUGGUGUAGCGGUGAAAUGCGUAGAUAUCAGGAGAAACACCGGUGGUGUAGACGGCUUUCUGGACCGUAACUGACGCUGAGACACGAAAGCGUGGGUAGCAAACAGG
rnacentral:rRNA from 1 species